UACGCAGGGUGCUAGCUUUGCUCGGAAUUACUGGGCGUACAGCGCACGUAGGCGGCUUCUUAAGUCGGAGGUGAAAUCCUGGAGCUCAACUCCAGAACUGCCUUCGAUACUGGGAAGCUCGAGUCCGGGAGAGGUGAGUGGAACUGCGAGUGUAGAGGUGAAAUUCGUAGAUAUUCGCAAGAACACCAGUGGCGAAGGCGGCUCACUGGCCCGGUACUGACGCUGAGGUGCGAAAGCGUGGGGAGCAAACAGG
rnacentral:rRNA from 1 species